GGCCCAGUAGCGGAUGGUCCGUGCCUGCUUUGAUUGGUGUCCCUCGAAUAAGGCUCUAAACGCAGGAAUCGCUCGUUCGAUUCGAGCCUGGGCCU